CUAAAUGAAUCCCUAUUUCAAUUGCAGCCACAGGGUCCGUCCCCUCCCUGCUCCUCACGCCGAAAACCAGCAAGAAUGCCGACAGUGCGCCUAUGCUGGUGAAGGAGAAGUGGAAACGGGCGUUGUGCAGGGCUGCUGAACGUGUGAGCAACGACGUGGGCAGUGGGAACAGUUGCUGCGGCGUGGGGUGGCUGCUGCUAACUGCUGCUUAGGGUUAGGCUAGGGUUAGAUUUGGAUUUGGGUUAAUGACUAGGGCCUUAUUGGGCCAAAUGUAUUUGGGCUGUGUAAACGGUUUUGGGCCCGGGCAACAAUUGGGUAUUACAAUAAGAUUACGGCUGCAGUGUAAAAUACCUUAUUUGGUUCAUUUGCUUGGAAUGAAAGAUUCGUGUAUUCGAUUGAUGAAA